rnacentral:rRNA from 1 species
UACAGAGGUCUCAAGCGUUGUUCGGAUUCAUUGGGCGUAAAGGGCGCGUAGGUGGCGGGACAAGCGUGCGGUGAAAGCUCGGGGCUCAACCCCGAGUCGGCCGUGCGAACUGUUUUGCUGGAGCACUGUAGAGGCAGGCGGAAUUCCGGGUGUAGCGGUGGAAUGCGUAGAGAUCCGGAAGAACACCGGUGGCGAAGGCGGCCUGCUGGGCAGUUGCUGACACUGAGGCGCGACAGCGUGGGGAGCAAACAGG